rnacentral:rRNA from 1 species
UACAGAGGCCCCAAGCAUUACCCGGAAUUACUGGGCGUAAAGAGUGCGUAGGUGGUCGUGUUAGUCGUUCGUUAAAGCCCACGGCUCAACCGUGGAGAUGCGGGCGAAACGGCACGACUCGAGGGCGUGAGAGGUGCAUAGAACUCUAGGUGUAGGGGUGAAAUCCGUUGAUAUCUAGGGGAAUACCGAAAGCGAAGGCAGUGCACUGGCGCGUUCCUGACACUCAAGCACGAAAGCGUGGGUAGCGAACGGG